UAAGUAGGACAAACGAUCGCGGAUACGGCUUUCUUCAGGCGGCAUUGCCGUCUCAGAGAACCGCAGACGAGGAAAGUCCGGGCUUCACAGGGCAGAAUGCCGGAUAACGUCCGGUGGAGGCGACUCCAAGGAUAGUGCAACAGAAAUAUACCGCCAGAUAUCUGGUAAGGGUGGAAAGGCAGCGUAAGAGACUACCGCCCUGUCGGUAACGGCAGGGGCACAUGUAAACCCCAUUCGAAGCAAGACCGAAACGAAAGCGACAGGCUUGCCCGGCCUGCUUUCAGGUGGGUCGCUGGAGGCUGCCGGCAACGGCAGUCCUAGAUAGAUGAUCGUUCACGACAUAACCCGGCUUAUCGUCCUGCUUAUUCU
rnacentral:RNase_P_RNA from 1 species